rnacentral:misc_RNA from 1 species
GAUGAAGAACGCAGCAAAAUGCGAUAAGUAAUGUGAAUUGCAGAAUUCAGUGAAUCAUCGAAUCUUUGAACGCACAUUGCGCCCGCUGGUAUUCCGGCGGGCAUGCCUGUUCGAGCGUCAUUUCAACCCUCAAGCCCCCGGGUUUGGUGUUGGGGAUCGGCUCUGCCCUUCUGGGCGGUGCCGCCCCCGAAAUACAUUGGCGGUCUCGCUGCAGCCUCCAUUGCGUAGUAGCUAACACCUCGCAUCUGGAACGCGGCGCGGCCAUGCCGUAAAACCCCAACUUCUGAAUGUUGACCUCGGAUCAGGUAGGAAUACCCGCUGAACUUAAGCAUAUCAAUAAGCGGAGGA